UGGGGAAUUUUGGACAAUGGGGGCAACCCUGAUCCAGCCAUGCCGCGUGUGUGAAGAAGGCCUUCGGGUUGUAAAGCACUUUCGGCCGGAACGAAAUCGCGCGGGCUAACACUCCGCGUGGAUGACGGUACCGGAAGAAGAAGCACCGGCUAACUACGUGCCAGCAGCCGCGGUAAUACGUAGGGUGCGAGCGUUAAUCGGAAUUACUGGGCAUAAAGUGUGCGCAGGUGGCCGCGCAAGUCGAGUGUGAAAGCCCCGGGCUUAACUUGGGAAUUGCGCUCGAAACUACGUGGCUAGAGUGUGGCAGAGGAAGGUGGAAUUCCACGUGUAGCGGUGAAAUGCGUAGAGAUGUGGAGGAACACCGAUGGCGAAGGCAGCCUUCUGGGCCAACACUGACGCUCAUGCACGAAAGCGUGGGGAGCAAACAGGAUUAGAUACCCUGGUAGUCCACGCCCUAAACGAUGAUGACUAGUUGUU
rnacentral:rRNA from 1 species